AGCGAACGCUGGCGGCAGGCCUAACACAUGCAAGUCGAACGAACCCUUCGGGGUUAGUGGCGGACGGGUGAGUAACACGUGGGAACGUGCCUUUAGGUUCGGAAUAACUCAGGGAAACUUGUGCUAAUACCGAAUGUGCCCUUCGGGGGAAAGAUUUAUCGCCUUUAGAGCGGCCCGCGUCUGAUUAGCUAGUUGGUGAGGUAAAGGCUCACCAAGGCGACGAUCAGUAGCUGGUCUGAGAGGAUGAUCAGCCACAUUGGGACUGAGACACGGCCCAAACUCCUACGGGAGGCAGCAGUGGGGAAUCUUGCGCAAUGGGCGAAAGCCUGACGCAGCCAUGCCGCGCGAAUGAUGAAGGUCUUAGGAUUGUAAAAUUCUUUCACCGGGGACGAUAAUGACGGUACCCGGAGAAGAAGCCCCGGCUAACUUCGUGCCAGCAGCCGCGGUAAGAC
rnacentral:rRNA from 1 species